AGAUAAAAACAUUCUGUUGCCUUCGGGUAAUGGUUUAAACCCUCUGUGAACCAAAACCUUUAUAGCUUCGGUAGCGUGCUAGCGGUUACUCAACCGUUUGUCUGUCAGCCUACCGGCAGCACCCAAUCAAACUUGUAUUUUAAAUCCUGUCUGAACAAUCAUUUUUAAUGAAUAAUUA
rnacentral:misc_RNA from 1 species